rnacentral:rRNA from 1 species
AGUGAACGCUGGCGGUAGGCCUAACACAUGCAAGUCGAACGGCAGCACAGGAGAGCUUGCUCUCUGGGUGGCGAGUGGCGGACGGGUGAGGAAUACAUCGGAAUCUACUCUGUCGUGGGGGAUAACGUAGGGAAACUUACGCUAAUACCGCAUACGACCUACGGGUGAAAGCAGGGGAUCUUCGGACCUUGCGCGAUUGAAUGAGCCGAUGUCGGAUUAGCUAGUUGGCGGGGUAAAGGCCCACCAAGGCGACGAUCCGUAGCUGGUCUGAGAGGAUGGACAGCCACACUGGAGCUGAGACACGGUCCAGACUCCUACGGGAGGCAGCAGUGGGGAAUAUUGGACAAUGGGCGCAAGCCUGAUCCAGCCAUACCGCGUGGGUGAAGAAGGCCUUCGGGUUGUAAAGCCCUUUUGUUGGGAAAGAAAUCCAUCUGGUUAAUACCCGGGUGGGAUGACGGUACCCAAAGAAUAAGCACCGGCUAACUUCGUGCCAGCCGCCGCCGUAA